rnacentral:lncRNA from 1 species
GCAAUUAUGAUAUACAUAUAUAUAUGGCAGCUUCUGGUGAGCUAUAGUAUACUAUAUUGAAUAUUGCGGCAGCUUCUGGUGAGCUAUAGUAUACUAUAUUGAAUAUUGCGGCAGCUUCUGGUGAGCUAUAGUAUACUAUGUGAAUAUUGCGGCAGCUUCUGGUGAGCUAUAGUAUACUAUAUUGAAUAUUACAGCAGCUUCUGGUGAGCUAUAGUAUACUAUAUGAAUAUUGCAGCAGCUUCUGGUGAGCUAUUAUAUUAUCUAUCAGCUAUAGCUUUGGAAAGCAUAUGUCGUAUUAACGACUGAUUUGGUAGACGGUAUGGAAAGAUAGAUAAUAUGAUGGAAUUGAAUCAUUGCGAAUGAUUGGAUUGAUUGAAUUGAUAGACCGAUAUAAGUGUCGGUAGUUUCAGCUUGUACAAGCAUUGCUUGAAUAUGAAUUGUACUGAUGUGCAGGAAAGGGACUGAGGCGAGGUAAGCUCUCAAUCCUAUUUGUGUGGCUAGAGCGCCCUAAGGCAUAUUUUCUUCCUAAUUGAGUUUUAGAUGGUAGGACUCGCUGAGACGUAGUCUCAUCCCGGUUGUGGGAUAAUAUUUCAAGUCCCUAGAUGACGGUCGUGAAGGACCGGAAGUCCUGGAGUUCGGAAGGUGGAGGCUGAAGAAUCGGUGAACGUGUCUGACAAGUUGGUCAUAGGACAGUUCCCUAGUUGUUGAGCCUAUCUAUUUUGUAGACAAUCC